GACAUCCUGAAGACUUCUGUGGGAGCAGAUGCCUAGCUGAAGCACAGCUGACAAGAGAGUCAUGAAAAAGCCAAAAGGAUCACCUGCUAAGUCCAUUUUAAAAUCAUGAUCUACAGAAAGGUGAGUUAAAUAAAUUGUUAAUUUUGGCUAUUGAGUGUAGAAGUAGUUGUUGUGCAAUGAUGUUUAACUGAUGAAAUAUCCAAAAAUUAUAAAGGCUUAAGAAUUUCUCUAAAAUUUACUUCUUAUAUUUGAUUACUCAAAGCCAUGAAUGUUAAUAAAACCUUUAAUACUAAUACAAGUAAUUGUUUAUAUUUUUCAAACUUAACCAUAUUUUGGUGAGCGUCUACAAAAUAAAAUAUAUAUAAAAUUACUACCAAAAUGAAAGAAAAAGAAAGAGGUACGAAAAGAGAAAAAAAUUAUUAAUUUCUUUUGACUACUCAAGUAAAUUACCAUACACUUAGCAGCUUAAAACCACACAGUCUCACCAGCCUAACAUCAAGAUACUAGCAAGGCUGUGUACCUUGCCAGCUGCCAGCCAGGGGUUGUUCUCAACUUAUACAGGCCACCCACAUUCCUUGAAUAAUGGACCCCUUCAUCUUCAAAGUCUGCAGUGGUGUAUAGAAUUCUUCUUAUGCUUCAUCUCUCCUGACUUCCUGUAUUAACUCUCAUUCCUCAACCAGAAGGGUUUUCCAUUUUUAAGGACCCUUGUGAUUACAUUAGCCCACUGAAAUAUUCUAAUACCCCAUCUCAAACUUCUUAACCUAAUCACUUUGUGAGAUCAUGUUUUGCUAUGUAAGGUAACAUAUUCACACAUUUCAGGACUACAAGAAUGUGUAGUACACAUUCAAGAACAUCUUGAGGGCAGGCAUUAUUUUGCUUACCACAGAACCUAAAUUAAUAUUUAUUAAGCAUCAACUUUGUACAGGGCAUUGUGCCACAUGUGUUCAUCCAUUAUCUCUUAUACAUUUUACAACAAACUUGCGAAGUAGAUACUAUUAUCUGUACUUUUAAAGAGGAUGAAAAUUAGAUCUAUUAAAGUAAGCAACUUGUCUAAGUUCACAAAGUUACUAUCAAGUCAUGGUUUGGAUUAGUUAAGUUUCUGUGAAUUUGAAGCUAUACAGCACUCUUUCAAAAAAGCAAAAGGAACAAAUAUUGAUUAUUAGAUAAAAUAACAAAAGGUAGAGAAAACGAGAGUCAAAAAUAAAAGAGAGAGUAAAUAGAGAAGAAAGCAAAGUGGGUAAAUCUGUUUGGGUAUUUAUAUAGUCUGAAAGCAGGAUAGUUCUGAUAGGUGAGAGGUGGAAAAGCCUGAUUAGUGUAGAUGAAUCCCCUUGAGAGCAAUAUUCAUGCACAAUAAUUUCUUCACUGCAGUGAUUUUUGUUUAUUUUAUUGCAAAUAUAUUUUUUCUUACUAUUUUUAUUCUUCAAUGCAAGCCUCUAAUUUUGAAAGAAGUGCUUUUCUUCAGCAACAAAGGUAGUAGAGGAGUGAUUUCCUUACUUUUUCAACAAAUUUUAUAAGGUUACACUGUCGUGAAGCACAAGUUAAUAAAGCCUAAGGACACACUGUUGCAUUUCUUUUAAAAUAAUGGAAAAUUAUUAAAUUUUUUAAGGCACAUUUUGUUUGAAUGUCUUGUGUUAGUUAGAUAACUGUACAUCACUAAAGUAGAACAGUACUUUUAAGAAGCAAUUUCUGUUUAGGAGUAGAAGUUGAAAGUGGUAUAUUAAUCUGAUGAGCUUAAGCAGCAAAAUAGACCUCAUACAUAAGAAUAUGAGCUGAUUUACUGUAAGGGACAUGACUAAUCCAGGGUCCAUCUGUAGGGCUUCCACUGGUGCUGAAUACACUAGUCAGGCCUUCAUUGCUGCUUUCCCCAGUGCUUGGACCCUUGAGGGCUUGCCAGG
rnacentral:lncRNA from 1 species